ensembl:lncRNA
CUGGCCCUCUUUUUUGUUUUUUUAAAAUUAAUUUUAUUGGUACAUGUUAGGUAUACAAUAUAAUGACAUUCAUCAUCGGGAAGUUGCACCUUUAUGUAAUCUCCCUUGGUUCUUAUUUAUUGUAUGUUUCUUGACAGUCCAAGGUUUAGCAUAGUGGACCAAUCCAAAGGGCUCCAACUCCAACAAGGGACAAGGUGACAAAACUGGGUUAAAUUUGUGACUCAGGAACUUUCAACUGAGUCGCUACAAUAAAAUCCUGGGAUUUUUUGAGAUGUAAGUUUAGUUUUUUGUAAAAUGGGAAAACAAUCCCGAAUUUACAGAGUGGAGGUGAGGAUGAAAUGAGGACGUACGUGUUUACUAAAUGGACAAAUGAACAGUGAGUGGCCAGACCCUAUGGAAGAGAGCUGCGACCUCCGCUGACAGCCAUACGCCCAGAAGACCAAUCUCCGUGCUAGAGCAACUAGUCCAGGGGCCAUCCUGCUGUAGGCCUGUGUAGCUACGCUGGUAUCUCUGGUAAGAAUCCAAGAAGCUACACGAUAACUCCACUAACCAUGUAACCAGAACUUAAUCAGUAACUGAGAGCAUCCCUCAUUUACAUCCCUACUUCCAACUUUGGACCAACAGAGAGCCACAAAUGAAGCCCCUAACCAAUUACAUGGGAUGUUUUGCUUUGAGCCUACAGCUUCCCCAGACUGGAAAGGCCUCCAAUCAGAGAACCUGAACCUUUUUCUCUACUGUGAAGAUUUCCCAGCCCUCUGCCUUGCUUUGAAUCUCUACUAAAUGCAAGUGACCGUGGCUGACUCCCUGCCUAUAGCAAACCCUGCUUAAAGAGCCUUUGCUCAUUCUCAUUUGGAUGGUCUUGGACGUUUCUGCAGUGUAAACAGACCUAUCAUGGUGACUUAUAUGUUGCCAUCAACUAUGCCAUGAACAAUUUCCUAUGUCACCUUCUUCCACUGUGAUGUUUCUGCCUUGGAGUUAGCUAACCAAGGACUGAAUUACCUGAAACCAUGAGCCAAAUUAAUCUCCUCCCCCUUUAAGAGACACGGAGCAGUAAGAAUGAUAGAUGCAGGAGCCCGAGCAAAGGCGAGGUGUGCAGAGCUUCAAAAGGAGAUGGUCAGCCCUGUCCAGACCCCUGUAUGCUGUGUAUCUGGAGAACAGAGGAGAUGCUGGAGAAUUUGUGAAAAGCUGCAGGUGAUCUACAGAGAGGAACAGGUGGACAUGGGGGAGAUUCCUUGGGUUGAAUCACUCAGAAUUUAUACUAUGAAUCACAUUUGGAAAUUGGAUGCAAAUGAAAGCUAAUUACCAUAUUCAAAAAAUCAGAACCAUUUGAAAAAUUGGAUUCUGUUGUAGGCUUCCUAGGGGUUUGCUGUUGAUUUUAUUGUUUAAUUUUGCAUUUUCCCCUGCAGAGUCAUAACAUUUUACUUUCAGCUAGAGUUUAUUCCAGAGAUCUGUGUCUGGAUUCCAGCAGCAGCUAUUGUGUUCAUGGAGAGACUUUAAGAAGUCUGCUACCCACUGAUACUGUAUGUAAAAUAUAUAAUUUUGAGUCUAAAGCUUUCUUCAGAUUCUCAAAAAAGUCUGGAAUGUAGCACCUUUCUUCUACCUUCCCCAAGUACAGGUUGACUAGACUAUACUUCUUUUCUUUUUUUAAUUGAGUUCAUUGGUACAUUUUAGAUAUACAAUAUGAUGAGAUUUUUCAUUGGAAAUUUGUACCUUUACAUAAUAUAUCUUGGUUUUUAUUUUUUCCCUAUUCCCCUGCCCUCCCUUCAUAUACGUGCAAAGUGGGCUUUCUUUGGAGAAAACAGCUGUCCCAAGUUGACACUGCAGCUGGGAUAUGAAGUCAGCCUUCUAUCCUGGUUCUAAAAUUAUGAUUGUUUUAGUGAAGUGCAAGACUUCACUAAAGGUCAGAGAGCUGACGUCCUCUGUGAGUAGGGUGCUAUGUGAGCACAGACUCCUAAGGUGAUUAAGACUUUCUCCCGAGCCUCCAGGAAACCUAGAAGACCAUGGUUAUCCAGAAGCGCCUUUGGGGCUCCCUUUGCUACAAGUGUUUGGGGCUUCACUGCCUUCCAAAUAAGAAACCCCUAUUUGCACAAGGUGCUUGGGAAGCAAGCAUUCUACUUUCAAAGCCCUAAUAAUAAAAGCAGGGCAGGGAAAACUAGAAAAUAAUUACUAUGACAACUGGGUUGCACUACACUAGCUGAAAGAGGGGUGCCUCCCUCCUUGACCAUCACAAUUUUGAUACUUUUAGGAGACACAAACAUAAGCACAUUUCUGCCCCAAAGAGCAACUUCCUGUCUUUUUCACCAGGUACAAGAUUGCUAGGUCUCUAUCUAAACUGCACUUAGUUGACCAGUUUCUACUUUGUUUCUUGGUAAAGGCAUGAUAUGGGUCUGAAAAUAGGGAUGGUAUCCCUGUGAGGCGAAUCCUGAGGUGUGAGUCUUCUCUCGAAUAUUAACUGCCAGUGGAGGCCAGAAUCAGGAACAGAGUUUAUGUUCUCCUUCAUAUUGUCAGCAUAACUCCACAGUUAGAAAAACCUAGAGAUUAUUUGAGUUUCAUUUACCUACAUGCUUUGAAAAAUGGUGUACUGUCUUGAGUUGUUCUUAAGAUUUUAUUUGCAUUUCUGUUUCUCAGCCAAUGAAUAGGGCAAAUGAAGAGGGAUUUAAGACUGGCUCAGUUCUUUGCAUAUCUUGCUUUGGACGCAGUUAAGAACCUGAAAUCUCCUGUGUUUAGCUAAGGGCACUUAGGAACCAUGCCCUCAGCUCAUCACUGACUGAGGGUCUACUUUAAGGACUCUGAUAAAAACUACACUUGAAUAAUGACCAUCCAGCUGCUGUUCUGCAAAAGCUCAUGGUCUUGUUGGAAAGAUGGACACACCCAGCAUGGAAACAGCGCAGUCUCAUAUGGGCUGAAUUGUAUACUCUUAAAAUUUAUAUGCAUAAUUCUUAAUUCCCAGUACCUCAGAAUGUGACUGUAUUUGGAGUACUGCUGAACCAAGGUGAUGGAAGUGGACAUCUUUAUCUUGGGCAUAAUCUUAGAGGAAAAUCUUUCAAAUUUUCAGCAUUGUGUACAUUAGCUGCAUGUUUUCACAUAUGAUUUUAUCAAUUUUACCUCCAUAAAGCUAUCAGAAAAAGGACUGUGAUAGGAAGAUGUUUGAAAAAUUUUAGCCAGAAUUGCAAGCACAGGAGCCUGAGCCCCUUCAAGACAAGAGCUCUACCUUUUGUGUCUGUUUGCAGCUUGUGGUGUGUCUGAACUGCCUACAGCACUUACUUUGCACACAGGGGCACUCUUGAGAGUCCGGUGGAUAACUGCCUCUGUACAGUAGGCUCAACCCGGGCCAUCCUAGGCAAACAGAAGAACUUUGCUCCAGACAUAUAUUUUCCAAGAUUAUAUCACUUUGAGCCAACUCUUUGAACUCCAGACAGAACUUGAAACAGUUGCUGAGCUAGCCAGCAGUUGACAGCUGGGGACGUUUGAGCUUUUUCAUGCAGUGGCAAUUGGGAGACCUUAUCAUUGUGCAUUAUUGGAUUGUGGCUGUGCAAAAAACCAGGCAUGUGUGAGAUGAGAUAUUCCCUCUCCAUCCAGGGAAUGACAAAACCAUCUCAGGAGGAGGUUGAUAUGCGCGUCUGUUGGCAGAGAUCUUUCCUGGCAUUCUGGAGAUUUCUGGGGUGUACAUACUGAGGUCACAUCAGAAUAUCUGCAGAAAUAAAAGCAAAAAGCAGCCAGACAAGAAAAGUGAGAAGAAGUGGAUGUCCCUGCUGGAGACAAUGACUAAUUUAAGCAAGGUGCUCAUCCUUAGGGUGAAAGAACAAGAGCUUUUAUAACACUUCCAUUGGCUAGGUUUAUGAUGCUCUGCUGGACUCCCUCUGCCCUGAAGUGAAGUUGAAUCAUAAAAUAGGGCCAGGCUUAUCUUGAGCAGCCAUGCAACCAUGGUGUCUGGAGGUGAGUAUUGAAAUAUGUCUUGGGGCUUUGGGGAAAUGUUUUCAAUUCAACAUUCCGUGAUCAUUGUUCAAAGAUUUUUGAUAGUGUCCUUUAGGAGUCACUGAACACAAAUAGAAAAGAAAACAAAGCCAUUGGCUCUGGACAUUUUAAACUAACAAGUAAAAAAGAAACAUUUCUAGAAAAUAUUUUGCAGACUUCAGUAAGGAUGUGGAGAAUAAUCACACACACACAAACAUAAUAUUAAUAAUGAGUGUAAUCAUGGACGUUUUUAUAUAUUCACAUAUAUUAGGGCUCAGAGUCAUUCAGAAUAGCACU